AGUCACUAUGUCAACCGAGGUCUCGCCCUCUGGCCGUCACUAUGAAGUGUCCCUCCUCUGCACGGAGGCAUCCUUCUGACCCCGCCCUGGCCCUUUCUCGCUGGACCAGUCACAGCACAGGCAGGUCACCAAGGCACAGUUCCCCUGAGUGGGGCUAGCCUUCUAUUAUUCGUAUGUAGACCCCCAAUCAGACAAGCUGUAUCUACAAUUUCAUCCAGCACACCCGGUGAGUCUCCUCUUUGAGAAAAAUCAGUCUUUGUGCUAAUGAUACCAUCCCUCAUAAAAGUCACGAGGAGAGAAGAUGGGGAUGGUGUUCAUGAUCUUUUGCUAGAGACUGAUGGCAUCACACGGAGGGCAGCUGCGGUGACAGCUCUUUAUGAGUACACUUCGGUGCUGUGAUCAUCAACAAGACCAGGACGGGUCAGAGGCAGAAACUGCCUAACCCCAGAAAUCACUCCAGGCUGACCCCAUGCUAAUUACUGAGGUUCACAGUCCUAGGAAUUGCAAAGGGGGAAAACAGACAACUGCACAGAGCCUUGAUGCCUUGAUUUACCCAAGAAUCUCCACAUCCACAUAAGGAUCAGAUUUUGUGAUUUCCACUGUAGUGCUAUGACCUCAAGGCUCACACCUCUGAAGAAGUGGCCAGGAUUUUCUGGCACCAAAGACCGCCAUGGGCCCUUUCCUCAAGUUACCCAGCAGAUCCUCAGAGGUGUAAACUUCCUUCAGUAAAGUUUGAUAAGGGGUCCUGGAAGGCAUGCGGAAGUCUCAGACAACACUGUGAAACCAACUGAAAGUGCCUGGCAGGAAAGCUGUGCCUGUCUCUGCUCGGUAGCCCUAUACGAUCUUGUGCAUGGCAGGCACUUUGUAACUAUCUGGUGAAUGAUUUCCAAGAAAAUGCACUUCCUCUCAGGGAAAAUACAUUGGAAUGUACAUCCUGCCAAGCAUCCAUUCAUCCCACGGUCACUGGAAACUUGGUGUUGCAGUGAGGAAGUGUGUCAGGGCUGGCUCCCCUGGAGACCUGCUUCCUGGUGGCAUCACAAGAUGCAGAAGUUUUUGUCAGCUCACUCAGCAAGUCUAUCUGCUCAUGGUGGCCUGGUUCAUUCAUACUCAACUUCCAAGAUGUUGCCCAAAGACCAAAAUGGCAAAUCAUUCAUUUUCAUUGAGAAAGAGUUCUCGAGAGGAAGUACUUAAAAGCUCCCAUUGACAGGUUAGCACAUUCUCUUUUUAGUAUGGAAAUGUAUCUGAGAAACCAAAUCAGUAUCAGAAUGCUGCCCUGUGGAUAGACAGAGCUGAGUAAAGUGAAAUGUUGUUCAUGUCCUGAUUGCUUGAUAUGCCCAAUUACACUCGAUGGAGUGCAGACGAGAGGGAUGGCGGCUCUCUCAGCAACACUGGAAGACAGUCUAACAAAUGCCCACGGUUCUGCACCUCUAUCUCAGUAUCCCUGGCCAGUCAUGAAAACUUCUGCAAUGACAUUAUUUCCUCAUAAUGGAUAUGUUUCAGUGUUCCAAGAUUACCACUCACUUUUCACUUUGCAUUCUAAAUGAAGGCUUUCCUUUUGGGGAGGGACUCUAUAAGUCCUCGGCUUAGUAUUUUUAAAAUGUUCUGGCUUGCUGUGGUGCAGUAUCACGUGUCUGUGGGUUAGCUGUGCUGUGUCCUUGUCUUGGGGUGCCCUCCCCACCUUGCUGUACCCACACCCCCAACCCCUCUGUCUGCUGAGCUCUCCGUCAUCCUUUCAUUCCGGGGACAAGUGUCAUCCCCUUCAGAAGCUCCCACACCCAGAGCAGGCUUAGAAGGUCUUUGCUCUGUGUUCCUAUGUUGGAGAAGGAAACGGCAACCCACUCCAGUAUUAUUGCCUGGAGAAGCCCAUGGACAGAGGAGCCUGGCAGGCUACAGUCCAUGGGGUCUCAAGAGUUGGAUACGACUUAGCAACUUAACCUUUAUUCAGCUUUUGCCAUAGGCUGCAAAGACAGGCUUGUUUAGCUGUCUUCCCCACUAGAUUACAAACUCUCAGAAAACAGGAACUCUGUCCAUCUCAUGGACCUGGACACAGUGCCUGGUACAGGGCAGGUAUUAGAUAGGUGCUGAUACUUGAUAAAAUCAGUGAGUGGUAUCAACAUUAGCCUACAGCUCUCCUAAUGAUGCCUCAAAAGCAUGCAACCCCCAUUUUAUUCUUCAGAUGACUUUUGACACCUCUUGUUUAUAAAAGACAAUGUUCAUAAAAACCUUAGGGUUGGCUUUCAAGAUGAGAUGCAAACCUAGUCAGGUGAGCGAGCAUCACUAUCCUUGGGGCACAUGGCUACCAGACAAAGGUGCCGUCUCCAUGCAUCUCUUCACUACCCAGCUCUUCACUACCUUCACCACCCCUGGUGGUGAGGAUGGAAACUGCAGGCUUCCCCUCUGUGUCCCAAAGCCAUGGUCCUCCCUGUGAAGUCCGACUGUCCUGAGCUGUGUCCUGAGGGGCUGGACAGUGAGAACCAACUUCCCUCUCCCUUCUGGCAGUUUCUCUUGGUGCAGACCAAAAUGAAAAGUUAUUUGAAAAUUUUGGAAUCAGACACACAGUUGAGGGUAAGAAAGUGAGAAGAAAAAGAUGAACUCUCUUUGUGGAGGCAUGGAGAAUGUACUUGGCUGCUGGGUGGUGAUGGUAACCCUGACCCUCUUAGGAAUAAAGGAAAGCUCUUGGGAGCCUUUUGUGUUCUUGAUUAGAUUGUUCUAUUAGGUAAAUCU